UUCCGUAGGUGAACCUGCGGAAGGAUCAUUACCGAGAGCGGGAGGUGCGCCUGGCGGCCACGUCCCGGGGGGCUACGCCCCCAACUCCGCCGCCCCGUGUAUAUCUACCUCUGUUGCUUCGGCGAGCGUCGGGGCGCCUCGUGCCCCCGGCCCCGGCCCCCGGCCGGUGCGUUCUCGCCAGAGGCCCCUUUUCAUUCUGUCUCAGUGACGUCCGAGCACACCGAUUGAAUCAAUCAAAACUUUCAACAACGGAUCUCUUGGUUCUGGCAUCGAUGAAGAACGCAGCGAAAUGCGAUAAGUAAUGUGAAUUGCAGAAUUCAGUGAAUCAUCGAAUCUUUGAACGCACAUUGCGCCCCUCGGUAUUCCGGGGGGCAUGCCUGUUCGAGCGUCAUUGCAACCUUCAAGCUUGGCUUGGUAUUGGGCGUUCGCGGCCCCCGUUCCGGGGGCGGCGUGCCCGUAAACUAGUGGCGGUCCGGGAGAGACUUCAAGCGCAGUAAACCGUUUCGCUUUCGAGGUGUCGCCCGGGGCCCGGCCGUAAAACCCCCCCAUUUUCAAUGAUUGACCUCGGAUCAGGUA
rnacentral:rRNA from 1 species